rnacentral:rRNA from 1 species
AUUGAACGCUGGCGGCAUGCCUUACACAUGCAAGUCGAACGGCAGCACGGGAGCUUGCUCCUGGUGGCGAGUGGCGAACGGGUGAGUGAUGCAUCGGAACGUGCCCUGAAGUGGGGGAUAACGUAGCGAAAGUUACGCUAAUACCGCAUAUUCUGUGAGCAGGAAAGCAGGGGAUCUUCGGACCUUGCGCUUUUUGGAGCGGCCGAUGUCGGAUUAGCUAGUUGGUGGGGUAAAGGCCCACCAAGGCGACGAUCCGUAGCGGGUCUGAGAGGAUGAUCCGCCACACUGGAACUGAGACACGGUCCAGACUCCUACGGGGGGCAGCAGUGGGGAAUUUUGGACAAUGGGCGCAAGCCUGAUCCAGCCAUGCCGCGUGAGUGAAGAAGGCCUUCGGUUGUAAAGCUCUUCGUGGGAGAAUUGCUUGGGUUAAUACCCUGAGUAGAUGACGGUACCCGCAUAAGAAGCACCGGCU